UCUGAUAUGGGCUUAAUACAUGUGACACACAUGAACUAUAAAUUUUCAGUACUGGCAGUGAAUUUCGGAACACAGUCAAAGUCAGAGUGCCAGAGUCGUUUUGAAUAAACCUGAAAAACAAAAUUUAUUAUAUUUUUUGAAUUUUAUAGAAAUUAAUAAGAUAACAAAAUGGACGAAAAUCAAGCCUUUGGAAUUGCAGAUUUGACAACCACAGAGUAUCAUCAAUUAUUAUAUAACGACAAGGCAGCUUGGAAAUUUGUCCAAUCAAUACAUAAUCAAGAAAACAGGCAUCGCAACUCUGAUGAGACAAUUAAUACUUUAUAUCGAUCGGUUGAUAAUAUUGAUUA